CUACCUAUAAAUACCUCUCCAUGAAGAGCCUAAUCCACCAUAGCAAACCAUAUCCUAUGUCUCUUGAAAAACACACCAUGACGACGUCUUUACUAAACAAACCAUUCUUCUCCUUCUUUCUCCACAUCCUGUUUGUGCUCCUUCAUAUAUUCAACUCUUCUUCCUUCUUUGCUGUAGCUGAACACACUCCCUCCACAACUUCACCAUUUGGUUAUAAUACAGAAGCUGAGCCUCUUCUCGAGUGGAAAGCCAGUGUUGACAACCAAAGCCAAUCUCUCCUUUCUUCUCGGGUCGGCAUGAGCCCAUGCAUUAACUGGAUUGGAAUCACUUGUGACAAGUCUGGAAGCGUCACCGGUUUGAGCCUUGCAGACUUUGGCUUGAGAGUAGAGACGUCAUACCAACAAGGUGCCUAGGAAAUCCAAUACGCGGGAACCUACUUUUGCAAGGAAUCAUGUAGUUGCAUUCUAAAUCAUGAUGUAUUUUAUACGAAUCAAUGUACUGAAUGUAUAACUAUUAUGAGAUCCUUUAGAUUAAAUUUGUGAUGACUAUUUGAAGGAUAGAAUACAAACUCAUGCCUAUGCAUGUAUAUUUUAAAUGUGAACUUCUAAUCAUGCAAACAUAA